AACGCAAGUUGCGCCCGAGGCCUCUUGGCCAAGGGCACGCCUGCCUGGGCGUCACGCCAAACACGCUCCCACCCCUCAUCGGGUUGUGGGAUGCGGCAUGUGGCCCCCCGCCUCGUAAGAGUCGGUGGGCCAAAGAUGUGGCUGCCGGCGUAUCGUUCCGGACACAGCGCGUGGUGGGCGAACUCGCUUUACUUAUCGCAGUGCGUCCGGACCGUAGCCGACGUGAUGGCCUUAAGGACCCUAUGAACGGGGCGCAUGACGCUCCGACCGCGACCCCAGGUCAGGCGGGACUACCCGCUGAAUUUAA
rnacentral:misc_RNA from 1 species